GCUCGUUUAUUAACUUCUGGGAGUCUCUGUUUCCUCAUCUCUACAGACAACGGGUUGGAUUCAAUCAUUGCUAAGCCUUCAUCUCUAAGACACUGGAUUAUUAUUAAAAUUCAAGAGCUGUUUUGUUCACGUUGAUACCACAUUUUUACCAUCCUGGAGCCAUCAGCCGCACAGAUAAAUGAAGUCCUACCCUUCAUAAUGACUUAGACUUCCAGCAUGCCUUCAUUCUUUUAUAAUAUCCCAGCUGCCUCUGUGUAAAUAGACUGUCAGCAUUUCAUCAAGGCACAUGGCUCAUUGAUAGGUUUGCCAGGCACACUUACAAUCAAAACUCAGCCCGUCUAGCAGAUAAUUACCAGCUUCAGCGCAUCUCAGCUGCUGUAGAACCCUUUCUUAUUCUGUGCACCAGCUUCCCACCACAAUGGAAAACAAAAACAAAAACAAAAACAACCCCCCCACACACACACACGCAAAACUGCCCGAUUCUUAUGACAUCCCCAUCACAGUUUCACAAAGGCUGAACGUUUGGAAAGUGUUUCCCGGUUUACAAUUUCCUUUUCUCACAACCACCCUUGUUUUGCAGACAAACUAAAGCUCCAAGAGGCCAGGUUGACUCCUCAAAAUCACACAGCUCAUCAGUAGCAGGUCAGGACUGAAACCCAGGCUUCAGCCCAGUGGCUUUUCUAGAAACGUACCCCCAAUUUAUAGCAACAGCUAUGGACCACGUAGGGUUGCCAGGAAACAGCCUUCCACGUUGCUUGAACGUUUCAUGUAGGCCUCCAGUUGUAUAGAACAGCAACACUAAUUCUAAUACCUCCUUUUCACUAUAUCAGCUCUGGCAAAAGGUCUCUAAAGACGGGGCAGAAAAAAUUUUGAAAAAGAGAAACAACCGUGGGCUUAAUUAAAAUGUGUCAAUAAAGAGAAUGAAGAGGAGCUCUAAAACGUCAGUGCCCCUCCGCCAGCUGUCUGGCCCUAGUGCCCAACUCCGCUAGGGCGCUAGGGAGGAGUGUGUUUCUUCCCUCUCAACUGUUAACUGCCAACUGCUAACUGCUAACUGCCCAAGGUUGCCUUGCUGAUGAUGUCACGCCUGGCCAUGUGACUCGCUUUGGCCAAUGAAAUGGGAGCGCAGGGGACCUGCCCCACGUACCAACAGAAGCUUUGAAGAGCUAUUGUGUAUUUCCACUCUCUCUCUUCCCUAUAUCACGAGAUUGGAGUAUUCUAGAUGGAGGCUGCUCCCACUAGCUUGGUCCCAUAACGAAAAGGACACGGAGCAGAAUUUCAGCCACUCUGUGAAGAUCAAGUCAGGCGAGGGAGAAGUAAACUUUGUUGUAAGCCACUAAAAUUUGGGGGAUCAUUUGUUACUGCAGCAAAUGAUUUCCCCUAAACUGACAGAGUCAAGCAAUGAUGCCAUUGUAUUGGAAAUAUCUGUCAAGUGUCAGGAGGCUCCUUGAGCAGGUAUUAUUGUUUAAGAAUUGAGUAAAUACCUUGUUUAAUGUUUAUUUAUUUUUGAGAGGGAGACAGAGCAUGAGCAGGGGAGGGGCAGAAAGAGAGGGAGGCACAGAAUCUGAAGCAGGCUCCAGGCUUCGAGCUGUCAGCACAGAGCCCGACAUAGGGCUCAAAAUCACAGACGGUGAGAUCACGACCUGAGUCAAAGUCAGAUGCUUAACGCACUGAGCCCCCCAGGCGCCCCAAGCAUUGAGUACUUAGUAUCUUUCGAUCCCAGAACCUAUAGCCAAGGGCCCAGCAGACAAUAGUUCACAAGUGAAUCUUUUAUGACUGACCCGCUGCGUCAAAGGAGGCUGGAUGACCGGUGCGAUAUGAGAAUGAUACUAUGAGUUCAAAAUGGAGCACAGAUGCCUCAGGAUAUAGAUAGAACCCUGGCCUAGUAAAGAUCACGUGGAUACCACUCUGCUCUGAUUUCACCAAUCCCACUGCUACCCAAGUAAUCAUAUAAGGAGUUGCUGAUUACCUCAUACCUUAAUAUCCCACCUUCUAUCAUCCAAACCUGCGCUCCCUAAAACAUCACCUCUGGACCUUGCUAUCCCUGUCUCCAUGAGUCAGCAAGGUCUGUUGACUUGCCAGUAAAACCCAGCAGGAAACAUGACAUACGUACUAUCUGCCCUGUCUCAGCCCCUUACAUACAGGCUGUCCCUCCCACCUGCCAUGACCUUAUGUACUAGAAAAGGCAACAGUGCUGGGCCCGAGUUCACCAAGAAGACACUGUGAUGCUUCCUUCUUCGUUCACCCCCUGCUGUUUUCUGCACGGUUCCAUGGCAGCAGAAAAGCAUAGUAUUUUGGGUACAGUCUCGACAGAGCCAGAAAGCCCUUGAUCAAAUCUCGAUUGCACUAUUUGCAUGGCACUAAGGCGAUGUAGAACUCUGGAACUAGAAGGGCCCUUUCGGGUUAUCCCAAGUGUAGCGGAGAGAAGCUGGCCUCCACAUUCCCACAACAAGCAGUCAUUGGAUGUAGGCGAGAGCAGGAAGGUCCAUUUCUUGAACCCCCUUUUCGCUCUCUAAGCCCCCAGUUACAUCCACAGCCUUUCUGUAGUGCAGCCUGUUUGCUGUGACUCUGAACUCAGGAAACUGGCGGGACCAUGGCUUGGGAGCAGGAAUAUGCAAAUCUUAAGGACCUAUUUGAAAACUCUUCUCCUUGGGGCGCCUGGGUGGCUUAGUUGGCGAAGCGUCCAACUUCGGCUCAGGUCAUCGUCUCACAGUUCAUGAGUUUGAGCCCCGCCUCGGGCUCUGUGCUGACAGCUCAGAGCCUGGAGCUGCUUCAAAUCCUGUGUCCCCCCUCCUCUCUCUGCCCCUCCCCUGCUCAUUCUCUCUCUGUCUCUCUCUCUCAAAAUAAAUAAAUACACUUCUAAAAAAACAAAACGAAAACAAAAAUACUUUUCUCCUUGCUCCUCCUCUACUUCUGACAAUAGACUGAGGCAUUUCACCAGACUGUGCCCCGAAAAACCUGAUCUGAAGCUGUCGGAGGACAGGUCACUCGUCACCUGCUAUAUCAUAAAGUCCUCGAAGUCAUCAGGAACUUUUCCUUCCUGCCACCUGCUUCCUCCUAAACCACAACCCAAAUGACUCUGCUGCUUCCAGGGGCAAUAGAGGUAACCUACAUCCCAUUCUUUUCUUAAAAAAAUUUUUUUAACGUUUAUUUUUGAGACAGAGAGAGACAGAACAUGAAUGGGGGAGGGUCAGAGAGAGAGGGAGACACAGAAUCGGAAGCAGGCUCCAGGCUCUGCGCUGUCAGCACAGAGCCCAACAAGGGGCUCGAACUCACGGACCGUGAGAUCAUGACCUGAGCCGAAGUCAGACGCUCAACCGACUGAGCCACCCAGGCGCUCCCCCGUUCUUUUCUUUUCCUGUCCUUAAUGACUGACUUCCAGCACCCCUUUCUCCUCUGGAUCUUUGUUCCACGCGGGACCCGUCAUCUACAGACUCGACCACUCCUUUUCUCUGAGGAGCGCUGUUGACAGACUAUACAAAACACUGCGCCCAAACAGUGCAAUGCCAGGCACUCUCCACGUUUUGACAGCAUGACCUAAAGUUUGCAUUAAGGUCCUUAGACUCUGCCACUUUUCUAAGGUGGUCCCACCAACUUGCCCACGCGAGAGGAAGCUCUUCCGGCAAGGGCCCUCAGAGGCUGCCCCCUCCUGGCGCCAGCCUCUUCUCUCGCCCUGUCCUGACUCUCCCAGGCCACAUCCACCGCAGACAUUCUUUGACUAGCAACGGGGUAGGGAGCUCAUGUCAUACCAGGGAACUUGCCCCUGCACAGAAGCUGUGAGGAGUCAGGCCAUAGACUGGGGAGUGGCAAGGGGGCGUGGGAUGGUGACAUGUGAGAGGAUGUAAAAGGUAUGGCCAGGGGCCUAACACAAGUCUGUUCUUAUAAAUCUUGUUCAACUUAAAAUUCCAGAGACUUCGUUGGAAAUUUUGGCUCAUGACGGUGUUUCUCUGAGGAAACAGAAACAAAUGCAAAGGGCAGUUCCAUGAAGGGGGAUUCCGUGACACAUUUCUACCGAAUCUUUUCAAGGGUCUUAUUUCUUAGAAACGUGGAGAAGUCCCAACAUGCAUGCUGGGUGCCUGGCGCCGUGGGGACAGGAAGAAGACAACCGAGUACAUUUCCUGUGCUCCAGACCCUGUUCUCAGCACCUUUCACGUAUUCACAACGCUCCUCCUCACAACCUAGCAGACAGGCUCUGUUAGGCUCGGCCCCACUUUGCUGAUGAGGAAACUGAGGUGCACGGGCAUCACAGAGCUUGCCCCAGCGGCAGUUUUGUCGGGUGGCUGCAAAGGGGCGAAGCUGGGUUUCACGUGAUACCAACACUUCGGCUACACGGAAAGAAACUUGGAGUCCCCUAGGCGCUCGGUUCUCUAGGUCUCUAACUGGAACUCUCAAAAACCCUAGUAAGUAUCAUCACCUCCUAUUCUACAGAUGAGAAAACCGCGACUCACAACAAUUCAGUGACUUCGCAGUGUCACAGAGCUAGCAAGCCAGGAUUUGAAUGCUGAGCUGGAAGUCUACCUUUUAAGGCGGCUCAGCAAGAGCAAGAUAUUCCUUUCCUAAGGCUUUCCAGCUUUUCAUGGCAGGAAGUGGUAAUGAGCCUGUGUGGUGAGCAUGAGGACUGCCCUGGGUCCCCACAGAUGGCCGCCUUCUGGCUCCAGAGCCUUGGCCAGCAACACUCCCAUCUUUGUGCCCAUGACCUAGUUUGGCUCACCCAGUUUAGCUCUAUGGCCUAUUUCUUCCCGAGGAAUUAUUUCAUAACAUCUGCCAAGUAACUAUGACAGGCUGAGCACAUGGCAUUCGUGAACUUGGAGAUGAAACCAACCCAACGUUCCUUCAUAUGUGUGGACCGAUAUUUGCCAUCGGGGUAGAAAGACCAGGAAGGGUUUUUUGGGUUUUUUGUUUGUUUGUUUGUUUGUUUUUUCUUUUUACCAGAAGGGAAAUUAAGAAGAGUCUCAAACCUGCCCUUUCAGGUUGGUUUCCUUUUUACAACAGCUGCCCUAAAUCACAGACAGUUGGGGCCUGGAUUGCUCGACCAGGGCAUACAGAAAUUUCUACAGCCUAUUAGGAUAAAGUCUUUCUUGAUCCUGCUUUUAGCAAUGGAUCUUAACUACCUCACGCUGGUUCCCUAUUGCCAAUAAAAUCCACUGUCCACGGACCACUGUAGGGUCCGGGGCUGAAAUAAAGGAGCGUGAGUUAAAUGUUGGUAAGAGACUUAGAAGUGUUAAUUAGGCAACGUAAUUCUAUACUUUUGAAAGGGCUGAGCCAUAAAAUGCUGUGAUUAAGGGGCUGUCUAUACAAGUAAAUGGAUAUAAUUACGUGUAAAAGCUCUCUUUCUCCCCCUUUGUGCUCCUCAAGCCCAAACCUGCUAGUUCUAACGUUUCCUUCCUUCCUUUUUUUUUUUUUUUCUUUCUUCGUCAACAUUCCCUGGGGACUUGGCUGGUUUUCUUCCCCUUAGCCACAGGCCUCCUACUCUGUCUACUGUUUGGGGGUUACUUAUCAUCAACUCCACCUGAUGGCCCCAUUCUCCAGAAACAAAUUCAUGAGGCUUAAGAGUUUCACAGAACAUGGGGUUACAAAAAGAACAAAUAUAGGGAAAUUAAAAAGUCUACACAUUUCAGCGUGCCUGGGUGGCUCAAUGGGUUAAGCAUCCAACUCUUAGUUUUGGCUCAGGUCAUGAUCUCUCACUUCAUGGGUCUGAGCCCUCUGUCAGCACAGAGCCUCCUUGGGAUUCUCUCUCUCCCCCUCUCUCUGCUCCUCCCCUGCUCGCUAUCUCUGUCUCUCCAAAUAAAUAAAGUUAAUUUUUUUUUUUUUAAAGCCUACAGAUUUCUUACAGACAUGGCCUUUUGUUUUUAGCUCCUAGCUUCCUCUCUGGGUACUUCCCACUGGGUACUAUAGGACUCGACCCUGAUGAGGGUGCUAACCCACUGUUAACUCUCCUGACCUGACUCCCACCCUGGACCAUCUUUUCAACAUACAAAACAGAACGUCUUCCCAUACCGGUGAGAGUACCGCCAGGCUCUUUACCUGGGCCUCCCUGGCCUCCGUGUUCUGUGCUCUGCUUCCCAAGCCUCACCUCUACUACGUUCCCAUUCGUCCUGUGCUCCAGCCCAGUCUAGUCCUCUUGCUGUGCUUUGAACAGCUCCAAGUCUUUCCACCUCAGGGGCUUUGCACUGACUAGCCCUUUUCCCUAGAACACCCUAACUACAAGCUGGCUCCUUCUCAUCUUGUGGGUCUCAGCUGAAAUGUCACCUCUUCAGAGAGGCCUUCCCGGAUUACUUUAUCUAAAGGAGGCCUCCCUCAUUCCAGCCAUUCCAUUCUUUAUCAUAUUUCCCUCUUUUAUUUUCUUCAAAGCACUUAACUGCUACCAGAAAUUGUCUUGCUUAUUCAUGUGUUUGUCUCUUGAGUGUCCACAUCCACCACUAAGCUGGAAACUCCACAUGAAGGCAAAGACCAUGUCUGUCACACUCACUGUUGUCUCCCCAGAAGCAAAUCGUGCACAUGGGGGCCCUAAAGGAGUAUAUUGUCUUAUUUCGCCCGCCACCAUCUGGUUAACCGGAGCCACCCUUCAUUUCAUGUCCGAGAAGCCAUUGUUGACUAUGACCUUUACAUCACACACUGGGUUACCUGGACUGCGGUCAUUCAUUUACUAAGCAAGCAUCCAUGUUAGAAGGCCAUGUGCCAGAGGCUAUGUUAGGCAAUAAUUUCACCAAGUCAAAGGAGUGGUAGGUCCUGCCUUCAAAAAGUCUCUCAUCUAACGGAAAGGCAGACAAGUAAGUUAGUGAGGGCGAUCCCUGCAGGAUGAUCUGGUAGGAGAAUACCGAGUGCCAAAAGAUAGACAAGAGGGGCAUCUCAAUCAGACCAGAGGGUUCUGGCCAGGCUUCUAAGAAAUGACUCUUGAGCUAAGUUUCUUCAUGUAAGAGCUAGAAAGAGAACAGCAGCAUAUUUUGGGGUGAGCAAGUCCCAUGGGCUAGAAAACCAUGGUGCAGACGCCAUGUGUUGCUGGGCUGACCUAAGCAGGCGGUGGGCUCUGGGGAAGGUGUGCUAGGCAGGGAGUCUGGGGAACUUGUUUCUGCCUAGUCUGUUUCUAACGAGCCGUGUGACUGUGAGUGGGUCCCCUCCCCUCUGAGUUUCAGAUUCUCUCUCUGGCUGGCAUUUAGCGAAAACUGAACUUGUCUGAACAUUCUAAACCUUCUAUUCAUUCCGUAAGUAUUCAGUCUCUAUAGUCACUGUCCCCUAACACCAAUUUACUGGGGGCUCACUUUAUGCCCAGCAGAGCACUAAGUGUUCUAAAAAAUAAAAUUAAUGGCAAAUGCAGUCUUUGCUCUGGAAUGCAGUGACAAUUUGGAGAGGGAGAAAAUAAACCAUAAUAAAAUUAGGAAAACGAAGCAGUUUAAUGCAUCUUACAUCUCUUGCUAAUUGUUCCCGUGUACUGGUCUUGUUGUGCCAUUUACAUGCCCUGUGUUCUAAUUCUAUUUGAUCCAGUCUCCCACUUUCUAGCUAUAAAACAGUGGCCUAGUUCUUUUACUUUUCUAAGCUUCUAUUUCAAGAUCUGUAAAGCGAGGAAAGUACCAAACUUACAGGGUUGUUGUGAGGAACGAAUGGGUUAGAAUAUGCGAGGCAUUUAGCAUAGGGCCUCACACACAGUCUGACCUCGAUAAUAAUUGCAUCUUCCAUGCUGCUGGACAUUGCAAUGCACAACGAUAGAGAUGAAAUGUUAAGAACAAGGUUGAAGAGUGAUCCGUGAAGACUGAGACUAUGCACCUCCUGGAAGACCCUUGAGUGAGUUUUUUAAGGAAGUGAGUUGACUGAAUUGUUGGUGGAGAAUCAGCAGGAACACGGGUAGAAGGCUCUUGUAAUGGUCAAGGAGAAGGUGAGGUCAAGACUGGAAUGGAAUGGAAGGAGACACUGUGGAGAAUCAAUAGGCUCUUGAUGAUGCUCCUAGUUAAGGGCUUCGGUAUUUUCUCUGAAGGAUCAGGCCACCAGCGUUUUUUUGUCCCUCCCAAAUACCUGUUGCACAGGCUACAUUCCAAGUGCGCGAAGCAGAGGUCUGGGGCUGCCUGCUUCCAUCUAGCUCCACUCAUAAGAUAGAGGAUUAUGUACAUCCUACAUGCUGACUUGCCUGUGAUCUUCAAGGGUGUCAAGUUCGUGGACGUCAAAGGUAGAACUGUUCCAAGCUAAAGGAGACUAGAGGGCCUUGAUGACUAAAUGCAGUGUGUGGUUCUGAACCGGAUUCUUCUGUGGGAAUCACUGACAAAGCUUGAGUGAGUUCUGAGGAUUAGAUAGUCCUAACUAUCAAUGUCAAUUUCCUGACUUUAAUGCUUAUAUUCGGGGUAUGCAGAAUAAUUCCUGAAAGCCAUGCUGAUGAAGAUAAGCAAUUGUGGUAGCUUGUCUCCAACGUGACCAACCACCAAGUAUUUCUUCUCCCCUGUGCACACAGACAGAAGUACGGUCUGUUCCUGUGCUCCCUGGAAUGUGGCCGAACUUAUGACUGCUCUAAGCAACAGAAUGCUACUGAAGUCAUGCUAUGUGACUUCUGAGGCUAGGUCCUAAGAGGCCUUAUAGCUUCUGCCAGUGUCUCUUAGAAGCCAACCUCUACCUAAAAAGUCUAAGUGCCUGGAAACGACCGUGCCUGAGGAAGCCGAAGCCAAUUCUAGUGAGAAUUGCCCCACUGAGCAUAUCGGGCCCAGAACUCUGAAAUACAAUAAUAAAUUGUGUUAACCACU